rnacentral:rRNA from 1 species
UACGUAGGUGGCAAGCGUUGUCCGGAUUUACUGGGCGUAAAGAGCGCGCAGGCGGUCGUUCAAGUCGCGUGUGAAAGCCCCCGGCUCAACUGGGGAGGGUCACGCGAUACUGAUCGACUCGAAGGCAGGAGAGGGAAGUGGAAUUCCCGGUGUAGUGGUGAAAUGCGUAGAUAUCGGUAGGAACACCAGUGGCGAAGGCGGUCUCCUGGGGCAUUCUUGACGCUGAGGCGCGAAAGCUGGGGGAGCAAACGGG